rnacentral:tRNA from 1 species
UUAAAAUAAGCUAAAAAAGCUUCUGAGCUCAUACCUCAUAUAUAUUGGAUCUCCCAUUUUUUAA